CAACCAGCGAUCACAAACCCGCUCCGCCUGGAAAGAUGGCGAGGAUGAUAGCGGAGCCACCUGGGCUAACUGAAGGCUUGAGUUCUCUGGUCUGGCACUGGAGACCCCCCUCAAGGACAGGAAGCCUCUGAGAAGUAGGCUUCAACAUUUUCAGACCGGUCACCUUUUCUUUUUCCUCACGUCUUACCUUGUAACUCCUGUCCUUGAUAGAUAUGGGUUUUUAAAUUCGUUAUUGUAAAGAUCUCAGUGAUUUGGACUCCAGAGAAGAACCAGGGGAGCUGUGGGAUGAGGUAGUAGUUUGUAUAGUUUUAGGAUCACACCAGAUCUGGGAGAUAACUAUACAGCCUACUGUCUUUCUCACGGCAUCCAAACCAUCACCUGACUGCAGAGACUGCCUGACACCUCCACGUCUUGUUGCCACAGGGACUGAAGCCUCUGUUGUCAGAAAUUGCACAAUGAAUACUAGAUCCGGUUUACUGGUUGUAUUCUGUUUCCUUGGCUGGGACACCUUUCAGAGGACAACAUCUGUCUCAUUAAUAAUCCCACUGACAUUAUUGCAGCUCACUUAAACACAUCACAAACUAAAACCCAAACUUACUUAAAGAUGGGACAAAUGUCAAGUCUGCCCUCGCACAGUGACAACAAAUCUUCAGGAAUUCUUUUGGGUUCUGUUUUCCUGGUGCAGGGCAGAUGUGUUUGUAGCUGUGCUGUGGUGAGGUAGUAAGUUGUGUUGUUGUGGGGGUGUGGGAUAUUGCAACCCCUAUUUUGGAGAUACAACUAUACAACUUACUGCCUUCCACAAUGUGGCAGCAUGAUGCACUGUGUUCCAGCAUCUGCAGUGUUUUUCAGACAGGUACAUGCUUCUUUUUUUAACAGCCUGUAUUGCAGGUCUUGAAUCUGCAAGUAAAUAGGUAGAUUUUCUGUUGAAAAUGUGUUUUGCUGAUUUAUGACAGAAAAUUAAUGUACACUUAUUUUGAUAGUUGGUCUUUAAUUUUUUUUUUUUUUUAAACAAAAGUUUUUAAAAAAAGGACAGUUACAGCUUUUUAAAUUUAGAUAUUUGCUUUUCUAUGUCUGAUAUUAAUUUUUAUUCAAAUGUUUAGUUAUUUUAUUAUUAUUAUUUUUAUCAUUUUAUUUUAAGUCCCCCUAUUUAGCUUUUAUAGACAAAGUACAAAAUAUAUUUAAUACAUGGUUUUAUAACACGCUACUAUGUCGCUGUAACCAGAUACAAGAACAUUUUUUUAAUGGACAGUAUUUUAUAUUUUUUUUAUUUGUAAGGAAUUAUAACAUCUACUAUGAUAACAUUUUGUUUUAUGACAGCUGUGUUUUACUAUGUUUUGGUCAUUCAUCAUUUGUUCAUGCACCAGUCUCCACUUCUCAGUUGUUGACAAAUACAUGAACAAAACAUUUUUUACAUUCAUCUGCUUACAACUAUAUCAUAGAGUUGCAACGAUUAGUUAUUAAUUGAUUAGUCAAUCAACAAAAAAUGUAUCGGAAAUUUCAUUUAAGAAGUUACCUUGUAGCUGUGGGAGUUUUUGAUUACCUUUUUUUUUCUGACAGUUUAUAGAUAAAUGACUAAUCGAUUAAUUGAAAAUUAAAAUAAUUGUUAGUUGUAGAUCUAUUGGUGCGUUAUGAACUAUUUAUUAAAUGUUUCUGUACUGUUAGUUUCAAAUCUGCUGAUUACUUCGAUUAAUCUUGUGGGCUGUAUAAUGUCAGAACUUGGUGAAGAAUGCAGAUCGCAGUUUCCCAGAGUCCAAGGUGACGGUGCCAAAUGUCAUAUUUUUCUGACUUACAGUCCAAAACCCAGAGAUAUGCAGUUUACUAUGAUUUAGAUAUAUAUAUAUAUAUGUAUAUAUAUAUAUAUAUAUAUAUAUAUAUAUAUAUAUAUAUAUAUAUAAUAUGUGAUAUAAAAUUUGCUUUUUCUCUCAUUGGAGAUGCUGCUUCCAGAAACUGGUUGGAGUCUCCCUUUAAAAAAAUGACUGAACCUGUUAAAUUAACUUUCAAAAUAACUAAUGAUUACAUUUCUGUUGUUUGACUAAAUGAUUAAUAAAGUAAUCUUUGCAGUUCUGAACUAAAUAUCUCUGUGAUUUGGACUGCCGGUUGGACCUAAAAUAAAUUGGUUAAUUGUGAAAAUAAAUAAAUGGAUUUAUCAAUAAUAAAAAAAAAUAUUUAUUGGCUAGA